rnacentral:lncRNA from 1 species
CCCACAGCCCACCCUCUGCCCCGGCUCCCUGCUUCCUCUUCUUCCGCCCCACUGAGGUUUCUUUACUCAUGCUCUAGUAGCAGCUCUGCGGCAGCCUCCUCUUCCAGUUCUUCCUCCUCCUCCUCUGCCUCCCAGUACCCUGCUUCCCAGGCAUUGCCCAGGUAUCCCCACUCCUUCCCUCUUGCAACAAGCCUCUCUGUCCCCAAUCAGGCCCCCAAGUAUACUCAAUCUUCUCUUCCAGCCCAGGCUGUGUAGAGCCAGGGUCCCCCACAACCUCCUGUGGCGGCCUCUUAGGCUUCCUCCUUCUCCUGGAGGCCAAUCCACUGCCCACAUCACCCCCAACACAUCACCAUCACCACCAGCAGCAACACUGUGGAAGCUCCAGGCCCCCUCCACCUGGAGCAUUUCCCCACCACCUGGAGAGCUGUAGCCACAUAGCCCCAUACCAUGCACACUCUUUUUUUUUUUUUUUUUUUUGAGACGGAGUUUCACUUUUGUCACCCAGGUUGGAGUGCAGUAGUGGCACUAUCUUGGCUCACUGCAACCUCUGCCUCCUAGGUUCAAGUGAUUCUUCUGCCUCAGCCUCCCAAGUUCCUGGGAUUACAGGCGCUCACCACCAUAAGUGGCUAAUUUUUGUAUUUUUAGUAAAGACAGGGUUUCACCAUGUUGGCCAGGCUGGUCAUGAACUCCUGACCUCAGGUGAUCCACCUGCCUCGGCCUACCAAAGUGCUGGGAUUACAGGCGUGAGCCACAGCGCCCGGCCAAUGCACACUCUUAUGCCAUGUGUUCCUCCCUGGGGUCUCUUUGGCUCUAUCCAUCAGGGCCAGCAUACCUGGCCCCAUCUCACAGCCAGAUGUCCUACAGCCAAGCAGGCCCCAAUUGCCCCCUACCUCCCACGGUCUCUUCUUCUCUUUUUUUCCUCCUCUCAAGGGUCCUACCCACUUUCACACACCUCCCAGGGCCCCUACCUCUUCCUGCUGGUGCCUACGGUCACCACCUCCUUGGCUGCCCUUUCCACUGCCAUUGCUAUUGUGGCUUCCUCACCAGCAGACUACAAAACAGCCUACUCGCCUGGGCCCACGCCAUAGGGAGAGAAAGCUGCAUCCCCAGGGACUAGAAGACAGGCCACACAGAUACAAGCCAGGGUGCCUCUCUCCAUCUGAAGGGGACCCCAUCGGGUCAAACCAGUCUUGCCCACUGUGGGACCUGUCACUUGUGAGCCCUCAGGUGUCAUCUCUGCCACCACCACCUGUGGCCCCUGCCUCAGGGUUACCCCUAAGCACCAGACAGAUCAAACAGGAGCUUGCUGAGGAGUAUGAGACCACUAAGAGUCCAGUGCCCCCAGCCUACAGCCUCCAACUCCUCCUAAGGUGGUGGUAGUCCUUUCC